AGUUUCUGUAGUCAUCACCAAGCUUCAGGAACUUCAGAUCCAUUUCUCUGGACCUCUUUCUGGGUUGACCAGGACUUUAAUAACACAGUUAAAACUUGUGAAAGAUGGAGAUAAUGAAUGAGAAAGAGGGGCUUUUGAGGAUACUGCAAUAUUUAUCAGAUGAAGAAUUCAAGAUGUUCAAGUGGUUCCUGCAGCAGCCUGACUUCCUGGUAGGAUUCAAAGCCAUCCCAAAGAACCAACUGGAAAACGCAGACAGGCUGGACACAGCUGAUAAGAUCAUACAGACCUUCAGCCAUCAGUCUGUAGAAGUGGUGAAGCUGGUUUUAAGGAAGAUUAAUAGGAAUGAUCUGGUGGAGAAAUUUUAAAGCACCAGCCCAGGAGCACAAGGCGUGUUUCCAUGGAGACAAUCUGAGGUCUGUUCUCUGCUCAACACAUUGUUGGAGGCCCAGCUCUCUCUACAGACCCCUACC